rnacentral:tRNA from 1 species
AGCGGGAGUGGAGAAACGGUAUCUUGCCGGCCUAAUAAACCGGAGACAAAGGGUUCAAUUCCCUUCCCUGCUA